UGCAUGGUGGCACAGUUAGUAGCACUACUGCCUUGCCACAAGAAGGUCCUGGGUUCAACUCCCGGCCAGGUGCAU